rnacentral:lncRNA from 1 species
UUAUUUCUACCCUUUUGCUUCUUUUUUAUGCCAUUUGCAAGUAGUGGGUGAAGAAGGAACAACCACCCAUGUUUUUGGCCUGAAAAUCUGGGAAGUGGGUGCCCCAAAUCACGUAAUCUGUCUGAAGGACCAAAUCACAAAUACAGCAAAAUUUCUGGGGCUAAAUGUAAUUUUUAGAAAAUUUAAGGUUAAAAUGUAAUUUAAG